rnacentral:rRNA from 1 species
AGUGAACGCUGGCGGCAGGCCCAAUACAUGCAAGUCGAACGGCAGCACAGGCAGAGCUUGCUCUGUGGGUGGCGAGUGGCGGACGGGUGAGGAAUACGUGGGAAUCCUGCCCAGUCGUGGGGGAUAACGUAGGGAAACUUACGCUAAUACCGCAUGCGCCCUUCGGGGGAAAGCCGGGGACCUUCGGGCCUGGCGCGAUUGGAUGAGCCCACGUCGGAUUAGCUAGUUGCGGGUAAGGCCCACCAAGGCGACGAUCCGUAGCUGGUCUGAGAGGAUGAUCAGCCACACUGGAACUGAGACACGGUCCAGACUCCUACGGGAGGCAGCAGUAGGGAAUAUUGGACAAUGGGCGCAAGCCUGAUCCAGCCAUGCCGCGUGAGUGAAGAAGGCCCCU